GACGUAGGGCGCGAGCGUUGUCCGGAUUUAUUGGGCGUAAAGAGCUCGUAGGCGGCUUGUCGCGUCGGCUGUGAAAUCCCGUGGCUCAACUGCGGGUCUGCAGCCGAUACGGGCAGGCUAGAGUUCGGUAGGGGAGACUGGAAUUCCUGGUGUAGCGGUGAAAUGCGCAGAUAUCAGGAGGAAUACCGAUGGCGAAGGCAGGUCUCUGGGCUGACACUGACGCUCAUGCACGAAAGCGUGGGGAGCAAACAGG
rnacentral:rRNA from 1 species